rnacentral:rRNA from 1 species
CCUCAAAUCAGGUAGGACUACCCGCUGAACUUAAGCAUAUCAAUAAGCGGAGGAAAAGAAACUAACAAGGAUUCCCCUAGUAACUGCGAGUGAAGAGGGAAGAGCUCAAAUUUAAAAUCUGUCAGUCUUUGGCUGGCCGAGUUGUAAAUUAGAGAAGUGCCUAUCUGCGCUGGCCUGUGCAAAAGUCUCUUGGAAAAGGGCAUCAUAGAGGGUGACAAUCCCGUCUUUGGUACAGAGCUCCAGGGCUUCAUGAUGCGCUCUCGAUGAGUCGAGUUGUUUGGGAAUGCAGCUCUAAAUGGGUGGUAAAUUCCAUCUAAAGCUAAAUAUUGGCGAGAAACCGAUAGCGCACAAGUACCGUGAGGGAAAGAUGAAAAGAACUUUGAAAAGAGAGUUAAACAGUACGUGAAAUUGUUGAAAGGGAAACGCUUGAAGUCAGUCGUGUCCUUCAGAAAUCAACCUGACCUUGGUCUGGCUUACUUUCUGGUGGAUGGGCCAGCAUCAAUUUUGAUCAUUGGAUAAAGGCUUUGGGAAAGUGACAUCUCCGGAUGUGUUAUAGCCCUUGGUUCAUAUACAGUGGUUGGGAUUGAGGAACUCAGUGUGAACUUGGGGCUUUGGCCSACAACACGCACUUAGGAUGCUGGCAUAAU